rnacentral:misc_RNA from 1 species
GCAUACUAGGACUAAACAUGUUGAAAUGGACUAUCAUUUUGUUCGUGAGAAGGUGGUUGGAGGACAACUUGUUACUCAAUUUGUGAGGCUAAGGAUCAGCUAGCAGAUAUUUAUACAAAAGCAUUAACCAAACAGGUUUUUGCUGAGUUUUAUCGCAAGUUAGGAGCUACAGUUCCUCCACUCACUAGCUUGUGGAGAAGUGUUGAAGGAAGCUAAUGGAACAGGUCAAAUGAACAGGUUCGCUGAAGUUGUCUGACGAGUUAGAGUUUGAGUUACAGUAGAGCUAAA